rnacentral:rRNA from 1 species
GACGUAGGGCGCGAGCGUUGUCCGGAUUUAUUGGGCGUAAAGAGCUCGUAGGCGGCUUGUCGCGUCGACUGUGAAAACCCGAGGCUCAACUUCGGGCUUGCAGUCGAUACGGGCAGGCUAGAGUUCGGUAGGGGAGACUGGAAUUCCUGGUGUAGCGGUGAAAUGCGUAGAUAUCGCUUGGAACGCCAACGGUGAAAACAGGUUGCUGGGGUUGUGCCGACGCUGAGACACGAAAGCCAGGGGAGCAAACGGG